rnacentral:rRNA from 1 species
CACGUAGGGCGCGAGCGUUGUCCGGAAUUAUUGGGCGUAAAGAGCUCGUAGGCGGCCUGUUGCGUCCGCUGUGAAAAGCCCGGGGCUUAACCCCCGGGUCGGCAGUGGAUACGGGCAGGCUAGAGGUAGGUAGGGGGAGAAUGGAAUUCCCGGUGUAGCGGUGAAAAUGCGCAGAUAUCGGGGAGGAACACCGGUGGCGAAGGCG